GCCUUUUUUACGUACAGCGUAUGAAAUCUAUCUGCUCAUCAUGUUUUAUGAUGUAUACUAGUAUUUGUAAGCAGCUUUGCUGUGUGUUGUAGUUCUGCAAUGAGUUGUGUGUUUUAUUUCCUGUGUUUGCAUGUAUUUUUCUUAAAUUGCGUAGAUAGGUCUAAAUUAUCGAAUUAUAUUGGCGAGACAUUGGUGCCAGCGAGCCUUCAUCUGCGAUGAAGUUAUAUUAAAGAGAACAAUAUAAAGUCCAAUCUGCGGUACUGUACUUACUACCUUAUGUUGGACUAAGUCAAAACCUGUAUUCACAAUGGCAGAUGUUAGUUGUGUAAUAAAAUUACUGUGAACAUCUC
rnacentral:misc_RNA from 1 species